GGUCGAUUCGUCUAGGGGUUAGGACGCAUCCCUUUCACGGAUGAAACACGGGUUCGAUUCCCGUAUCGACUAC
rnacentral:tRNA from 1 species